GAAGCACGCCAGACCGCCGCUGGUGCAAGUGCCGAAAGGCCGCACUGGAGGAACGUCCGGACUGCACAGGACAGCGUAGCAGCUAACGGCUGCCCACCGUGAGGUGAGGAUCAGAGCAACAGAGACGAGUCCGGCGGGAGUACCGCAAGGUAGACCAGCCGGGGUGAAACGGGCAAUCUCUACGCGCAGCAAUACCAAGUAGGCCAGCGUUGAUGUGGUUCCGCAGAGCUGGCGGGUAGGUAGCAUCGAGCCGGGUGGGCGACCCCCGGCCCAGAGUAAUGGCGGUCACGCCCGGGCAACCGGGUGCACAGAAUCCGGCUUAUCGGCGCGCUUCACAC
rnacentral:RNase_P_RNA from 2 species